AAGGGCUCGUAGGCGGUUUGUCGCGUCGGGAGUGAAAACUCAGGGCUCAACCCUGAGCGUGCUUCCGAUACGGGCAGACUAGAGGUAUGCAGGGGAGAACGGAAUUCCUGGUGUAGCGGUGGAAUGCGCAGAUAUCAGGAGGAACACCGGUGGCGAAGGCGGUUCUCUGGGCAUUACCUGACGCUGAGGAGCGAAAGCAUGGGGAGCGAACAGGAUUAGAUACCCUGGUAGUCCAUGCCGUAAACGUUGGGCGCUAGGUGUGGGGACCUUCCACGGUCUCCGUGCCGCAGCUAACGCAUUAAGCGCCCCGCCUGGGGAGUACGGCCGCAAGGCUAAAACUCAAAGGAAUUGACGGGGGCCCGCACAAGCGGCGGAGCAUGCUGAUUAAUUCGAUGCAACGCGAAGAACCUUACCUGGGUUUGACAUAUACCGGAAAGCUGCAGAGAUGUAGCCCCCUUUUGGUCGGUAUACAGGUGGUGCAUGGCUGUCGUCAGCUCGUGUCGUGAGAUGUUGGGUUAAGUCCCGCAACGAGCGCAACCCUCGUUCUAUGUUGCCAGCACGUUAUGGUGGGGACUCAUAGGAGACUGCCGGGGUCAACUCGGAGGAAGGUGGGGAUGACGUCAAGUCUUCAUGCCCCUUAUGUCCAGGGCUUCAAGCAUGCUACAAUGGCCGGUACAAAGGGCUGCGAAACUGUAAGGUGGAGCGAAUCCCAAAAAGCCGGUCUCAGUUCGGAUUGGGGUCUGCAACUCGACCCCAUGAAGUCGGAGUCGCUAGUAAUCGCAGAUCAGCAACGCUGCGGUGAAUACGUUCCCGGGCCUUGUACACACCGCCCGUCACGUCAUGAAAGUCGGCAACACCCGAAGCCAGUGGCCCAACCGUUUAC
rnacentral:rRNA from 1 species